UUUGAAGAAAACAUAAUUUAAAGAAUAAAUGUAAAAAAAAUGGAGAAAAGGGGUCCUAGGUUUAUAUAAAAUAUGGACCACAUCAAUGCAAUAUCCAGCAAUCACGCCUCAAAAGCACGUGAUAUUAGUGCACCAGUCAUCAUAUCCAUAUUCUACCCUUCCCACCCCGUUAAGGAAUUUAAAUGCAAUUAGUCUCGUUUAAUUAUUGCAUGCUAGUACCCAUCCCAUCCUAUCAGUCUCGGGGUAUUAAGACUUCUAAUUCUAAAGGUAAUGGAAAAGGAUAUAGGCAUAUAUGGAAUUAAGAGGUUAAAAUUCUAAUUGCGACAUACAAAAAAAGUAACAGAUAUAGGGAUGAACAAAGCAAAUAAGUAAGGCUCAAAUUAACCCCUUAAUCAAACAACAUUUAGCUUAGCAUGUCUUGACACAUACUGAUUUGGUCUUUAAUUUAAACUUAAAAAGCGAGACGGAAUGGUUUAACGCAUAUAUUUAGAUAGAAAUUCAGCAUUAAGCAACUUGGAUCCAAUUGUCAGAAGUUAAGGUGUUCUAAGCGAAUGAUUUAGAAAGUACUGAUUUCAGAAAGAAGUAGUUGCAGAAGAGUUUUGAAAAGACAAUAUAGAUUACGGCGAGUUAAAGAGUGUUAAAGAAAGGUAGGUAGAUUGUCUGAACAUAGAAGUUGUCUUAAAGAACUUCAGAUAAGAAGGCAGAAUUUCUUAUGAAAAAGAGUGGAUUGCAGAGCUAUUUUAAAAAGACAAGUUCAGAAAAACUAAAAUUUAGUAGGAAAAACGUUUAGGCAGAAAGUUUAGAGAGAAACUAUUUCAGAAAAAAGAUGCAGAUUUGAUGAACUUAAAAAUAUACUGGUUCAAACGAUUUUAUUAAAAGAUGGAGGCUAUUGAAAACUUUAAUAAUUAAGACAUUUAAGGACCAAUUAAUCAUACUCUUAUUGCUUAAGACAAAUAAGUCGAGUUUGAUGCAAAAUCCUAUAUGCAUGAUAUCUACAUUUGAUUUUUUAAGAAUUGUUAUUGAACUAAUAAAAAGAUGAUUGUUUAGUUAGCCCUAUAGCUUUCCUAAUGAAUAUGCAGUCCUAAAUAAAUGAUUUCUAUAUGCAUUUAUUUACAUGAACGUUAAAGUUCUAUUGGCAAGAUUUCUAAUGGUUUGCAAUAUGACUAAACAUUAAAUCUUAUAUGCAGAAUUUCUAGACGAUUGCAGCAUAAUUAAACGUUAAACCCUAUAGGCAUGGUAUCUAGGCGACAUUGAAUCAGAAAUAAUGGAUAGUACUAUAGGCAGGAUUUCUAGUAAGAAAAUUAAAGUUCUAAAGGCAUGAUAUCUACCCUUUAUUGAUGCAGAAAAAUAAAACCCCUCCCACACCCUUUUACUAUAUUACCCAAAGUUCUUUUAUACAAAUUAUUACAGAACUGGAAAAGGGGGAAGAAGAUAUAAAAUACAUCAAAAGUACAACUAGAUCCAAACUUCCUAAUGCAACCUUAGUGUCUAAUAACAUGUGAUUAACCAACUUCCGAAAUCCAGAUUUCCAAAGCCUUCUCGUUAUCCAAAGUGUUUCAAAGUUCCAAGGAAUCUUAAGAAUUCCCACCAUUGCUUACACUCAGGAUACCACUAGAAUUAGAAUAGUGCAGUGUGGAAUAGCCAGCCCUCAGGCAUCCAAGUUCGAAGGGAGAUCAAGGGUCCCAAAG
rnacentral:lncRNA from 1 species